UACGUAGGGGGCAAGCGUUGUCCGGAAUCAUUGGGCGUAAAGAGCGUGUAGGCGGCCCGAUAAGUCCGCUGUGAAAGUCCAGGGCUCAACCCUGGAAUGCCGGUGGAUACUGUCGGGCUCGAAUUCGGAAGAGGUGAGUGGAAUUCCUGGUGUAGCGGUGAAAUGCGCAGAUAUCAGGAGGAACACCAAUGGCGAAGGCAGCUCACUGGGACGGUAUUGACGCUGAGACGCGAAAGCGUGGGGAGCGAACAGG
rnacentral:rRNA from 1 species